rnacentral:rRNA from 1 species
GAUGAACGCUGGCGGCGUGCCUAAUACAUGCAAGUCGAGCGAACAGACGAGGAGCUUGCUCCUCUGACGUUAGCGGCGGACGGGUGAGUAACACGUGGAUAACCUACCUAUAAGACUGGGAUAACUUCGGGAAACCGGAGCUAAUACCGGAUAACAUGUUGAACCGCAUGGUUCAACAGUGAAAGACGGUCUUGCUGUCACUUAUAGAUGGAUCCGCGCCGCAUUAGCUAGUUGGUAAGGUAACGGCUUACCAAGGCAACGAUGCGUAGCCGACCUGAGAGGGUGGUCGGCCACACUGGAACUGAGACACGGUCCAGACUCCUACGGGAGGCAGCAGUAGGGAAUCUUCCGCAAUGGGCGAAAGCCUGACGGAGCAACGCCGCGUGAGUGAAGAAGGUCUUCGGAUCGUAAAACUCUGUUAUUAGGGAAGAACAAAUGUGUAAGUAACUAUGCACGUCUUGACGGUACCUAAUCAGAAAGCCACGGCUAACUACGU